rnacentral:rRNA from 1 species
GACGAACGCUGGCGGCGUGCUUAACACAUGCAAGUCGAGCGGGGUUUAUCGGAUUAGCUUGCUAAACUGAUAAACCUAGCGGCGGACGGGUGAGUAACGCGUGAGCAAUCUGCCUCAUACAGGGGGAUAACAGGUGGAAACACCUGCUAAUACCGCAUAAGACUCCACUACCGCAUGGUAGAGAAGUCAAAGGGAUUACCGGUAUGAGAUGAGCUCGCGUCCCAUUAGCUAGUUGGUAGGGUAAAGGCCUACCAAGGCGACGAUGGGUAGCCGACCUGAGAGGGUGAUCGGCCACACUGGGACUGAGACACGGCCCAGACUCCUACGGGAGGCAGCAGUGGGGAAUAUUGCACAAUGGAGGGAACUCUGAUGCAGCAACGCCGCGUGAGUGAAGAAGGUUUUCGGAUCGUAAAACUCUGUCAUUGGGGAAGAAUAAAUGACGGUACCCAAUGAGGAAGCCCCGGCUAACUACGUGCCAGCAGCCGCGGUAAUACGUAGGGGGCGAGCGGUUGUCCGGAAUUACUGGGCCGUAAAGGGUACGUAGGCGGCUAUAUAAGUCAGGUGUGAAAUACCAGUGCUUACACUGGAAUUGCAUUUGAACUG